rnacentral:lncRNA from 1 species
CAAGGUUUAAGGAGUUGGCACCUUAUGAUCCUGACUGGUACUAUGUCAGAGCUGGUGAGUUUCUUUUGUGUUUGAGUGAUUUGUCAAAACUUUUGAGAAACAUUUUUGAUCUUUUUUUUCAUUGAAAUUUGCAAUGUGUUUUUUGUGCCGCAGCUUCCAUUGCAAGGAAGAUCUACUUGAGGGGUGGACUCGGUGUUGGUGCAUUCCAGAGGAUUUAUGGUGGAAGUCAGAGGAAUGGCAGUCGCCCACCUCAUUUCUGCAAGAGCAGUGGUUCCAUUGCUCGCCACAUUCUUCAACAGUUGCAGAACAUGAACCUUAUUGAGAUGGACACCAAGGGGUAAAUAACUCAUUAUCCUUGUUAGUUUGCUAUAGUUUACAAUACGGUUGUUACCAGCAAUGAAGAGAAUAGUAACAGUAGAAUUAGUCUAAGCCGCAACUCAAAUUGAAAAGCUAUUUUAAUGUUCACUUGUAAUUUUUUAACAACAUUUGUUUAGCAGUUGUUCAUGCUAUUCUGCAUCUGUGUUCUAUUUAUAUUGUGAUUGGCUUUGCUUUAGAAAUAGUUUAUGCUAUUCUGCAUCAGCCCUUGUAUCAUAUGUUUUUAACAUUUGUUUUUCUGUGUCACAGUGGCAGGAAGAUCACUUCCAGUGGAAGGAGGGAUUUGGACCAAGUUGCUGGACGUAUUGUUAUUGCUCCUUGAUCUGUAAACUGCUUCUAGGUUGAGUUUUGUGUUUUGAGAUAUGUGAUGAUAACAAAGAUAAUGUGCAAUUUUGAUUUUAGUCAUUGAGUGGCUUAUGUAUUAGACUUGUUCAAUGCUAUGUUGCUUUUUAGUCUUUUAGUUUGUCUUAUCACAUUUUAUUCACUGGAUUUUUUUGGAAUUUCACUCUUAAAAUUCUUGUCUGUUAAGUUUGCUUUACAAAAUUAUACCUAUCUAUCGUCUUGUAAUGUUAUAACUACACCGCAUGUUCCCCGUUACAACUAGCAUUUGCAUAUUUUCAAACAUAUGACAUUUGCUUAUUAUCAAGGCUGCCCUUAAUGUCAUGCAUAAUUUCCUUCACUUUGUGCCUCUACUUGCAGUUUUACUUAGUAGCACCUCUGCUCCCAACCUUUCAUUUUACAUUUGGUAAUUCCUAAAACUCUAUCUUGCCCAACGCCCACCAUCAAAAUUGGCACCAGGAGUGUUUGAAUCAAAGUCUCCGGCCAACCCAUGAUUUGAAUCUAUCUCUCCUAGAUUGGAUAACUGGGAUCCGUUAUGGUAUUGUUAUUAACCGGGUACCGCAGCUGAGGUUCAGUAGGAUAUCUUAGAUUGCAAAACUUUUAAUUUGAUUUAUUAGGUACAAGGCUUAUUCUGGGGUGAAUAGUUACAAACAAUAAAAAGGAUCUGCAGAUAUCCAACACCACCACAACUAACAACAAAACUACAUAUAGCAACAAAUGCAACUCACGCACUAAACAGAACACAAAACUGAAGCUACAAGCUACAACUGGGUGCCCACACUUUUGAAAGGAAACCAUUAGAUUAUAAGAAGCUCAGCAAUAUAGCUGCAGUUAUAAGAGCUAGUCUGCCUCUUCAAAAGACCACACCUGAAACUACACACCACAGUCCGAACAACUUAACUCCAAAGAAACAUCCCUGACACUUAAAAAAUAAACCUCUGCGAACACUGGAAUAAAAAAGGGAUUAAUGUGUCCUGCUAAGCGGCUCCUACUAAACUGAUAGCACCUUCCUUCCUCUUCAAAUACACACAAAUGAAAAGCUAUAAUCACCAAUGAAGUCCAGAAGGAAAAAAAGAAGGGGUGAAGAUGCAGCCCUUCAAAAUACAAGAAGUACGAAAAAGGCAAAAGUACAACCAAAACAAACACAGUCCAAUUCUAACUAAAUGACACUGCCAAAGCCACUUGAGUAAUCUAAAGUCUAUACAAAUGAUGCUAAAUGGUUUUGAUGACAUGCUUAAUUUCUAUUGUAACUGAAGAGCUUUUCAUUUUAAUCACUUCAUUCCUUUAGAUGCAACUAUUUGCUUGUUGGGAGUAGCAUUUGAGGUCCCCAAGUUUUUAUUUUGAGUAUUCAUUUAAUUAUUCUGUGAAUUCAAAGCUACUACAACAGAAAUUGUGGACAAACACUUGAGUUAUAAUCCAUUAUCAACUUUAUAUGCAGUAUUUUUGAGACACUUUUCAAAUCAACCAAAAUGAAUGAAGCUAAUUGUAUUUUGUAGUUACUUUAUUCUCUUUCUUUUAGCUUAGAACCCUAGUUUCUUAUAUUUUUCUUUGUUGUAGCAUUUAGAGCCUAAUUGAGAGUUGAACUCAAGAAAGCAUCUACAUAUAGGGGUAUUUCCAAAGUGUCUCAAAGACAUUAUAGAGGUGAUAAUAGAUAAUAACCUAAGAGCAACUUUAACGGACAAUGUCAUCAUCCAUUUUAUGGUUUUUAUUAAAGUUUGCUGUUUGAGAGAUCUCCGACACAACAGUAAAAAAAUGUAUUAUAUAUGCGUAAAUGAGUUAAAUUGUUGAAAUUCAAUGUGAGUUUCUUAAUAUUGUCCAUUGGAGUAAAAAAAAAAAGAAUGAAUUAUUUUAUGAUAUGGCUCAAUGAGAUACAAAAUAAUCUUUAAAGAAGAUCACCAUUGUAGUUGCUCUAAAGACUAAAAUAGAAUCUAUUGUCCGUAAAUUCUUCACCUAAAAUAUUCUAACUUAACUCUUUGACAUAAACUCGGGCACUACAAUGAGAUGUUAAAAGAUAUCUUUCAACUUAAUCAAAGUAUGUCCUCGAAUCCAACUCUAAAAUGCAACAUUGUUAAAUCUCUGACAGCUAUGUCAUAACAAAAACCUUCUUUUGGAAAAUGACAUGUCUUCUCGGAGAGUCUUCCAAAUUUCCAAUGCACUCUAUCCGGAACACCAAAUGAUUCCUUCAAUUACUUCAUAACAUUACAACAAUUUUAAUAAACCAGUCAACCAUAUGAGCUGUUGAAAUUGGCAAAAUAAUCUCCAAGAAAAUCAUUUGGGACAAAAAAACAUUCAAAUCAGCGCAUUCCUCCAAUUUUGAUAUUAAGAAAUUUGGACAGUUAAGAUUUGAGAAGUUUCCUUUGUCAUAUUAUCAUUAUAGUAUCUAGAUGUUAAAUAUCUAACAACAUUUUGAAUAGAACAACAAAGCACCAGUGGUCUAGUGGUAGAAUAGUACCCUGCCACGGUACAGACCCGGGUUCGAUUCCCGGCUGGUGCAAAUUUGAGGGAGCUAUGAUGAUAAUAUCUGUGGUGUUCGGUAACAUCACUUCUCCUGAAACAUUGGAUGAAUACCAUACCCCUGAGCUCCUUUUUUAUUUUUGCAAAUUUCAAGUCGUGUAUUUUUUUGUUGUAUAUUAUUGUUAAUUCUGUUGAAUUAACUAACUGUUCAAAAGAAGAAGCAUGUCCUGUUUUCGAGUCAUCCCUUGUGCAUGGUGGAAAUGGCUUCGUCGCAGCAAUGGUAUGUAUAGAGGAUAUGCCAGGACUAGAGUGCUCCUUGGUUUUAAGGUUCAUGAGCUACGUGCUCCUUGGUUUAAGGUUCAUGAGCUACAUUUAUGUGGCGAUCCUAGUGUUUUGCAUAUUGUUCGAAAGACAUAUCAAGGUACAAAAGAUGAGUUGUGCGAGCAACAAUAUGAGAGGUUCAAACAGUUGGUGGUAGAAGCCAAGACACUGCUUGGAAAGGCAUGUCAAGAUUUAGGAGAUGAGUUGUGUGAGUAAACAUUGUGAGAACUUUGCCACCAGAAAUUUGUUCAAUGAUCAAAUGGGGACGGGCCUGAACCUCAACAUUCAAAGGGUGAUUUUCAGUAGCCUUUCGAAGUACAAUGGUGGCAAAAUUCUUACUGUUCCAGCAAAUUGCAGGAAGAGCUGGUAGAAGAGGAUGCCUUUAUCCCGAUGGACCGCUACUACCUUGCAUUUGGAUGAUAUGGAUUAUUUGAUCAAGUGUUUGAAACAGCCCUUUGACCAUGUUACGACGGUUGACAUUUUUCCUUUUUACGAGCAUGUAGAAUUGUUUGCCGGCAACUUCCUAAUAUGACAUUCAGCUAACUUUUAGAAAAUUUGGUAAAAAUUGCUGUUUGGAUGGGUCAUACUUCUUGUGUCCACAGGAUCACAUAUACAAAACUGCUAAUAUGUUAGAUGACUUAGAUCAAAUUCAAGGGCUAUGUAACAUUAGUCACAUUUGCAACACUGUUCAGUCAAAAGGUCCCAUCUCCCAGGAAGCAUGCCUAAGAAUUAUUCAAGACUCUUGGACCUUGAGAGUAGACAUCAAGUAUUAUUGUCAUAUUUGUGGUUAUCAAACUAUUUUGAUGAGGAAAAUUUUCCAUAUGCAAAGAAAGCCGAGGCAAUGGCGCCAGACAAUGCUUGCUUACUUGGUUAAUCUCUUGUCAAAGCGGGUUGGAAACCUGAAUCAAGGAAUAGAGGAGAACCAAAAGCUGGAAAAAGUGAAUAGCAAACAUAAUUAAGAAGGAUCUUGGAUAUUCAAGAGUCAAGACCACAGUCUCCUGUUAAAUUAUAUGACAAGUGUACCUUUCGAUGUAUAGCUUCUUAUUUAUCAAAUUUUUCUGUGUGGAAAUUAGAACAUUUCCUUCAUUUCAAAUAAACUCCGGCUGGUUUUACUAUCCGUGCAUAUGCAUUCAUUGUCUACUUGAAAGACUUCUGGCUAGUCAUGCUUGCACUUCUUUUACAGAAUCGAUAUUUCCAUUGGUUCAUUAUUCCGGCUUAUAAAUUAUGUAUUUUUAUUCCUGAUUAUGUAUUUUUUUUUCCUGUUAUUCAGGAAAAGGCAGGAAAAUUCAUAUCGCUUAAAGAAAAUAAUUUCAUAAUAUGAUGACUUUGGAGGUAAAGGAAGAACAGUGGUGCCAUUGCUCAUCAGUCAUCAAAUUUGCGACCACAAAUUCCUGAGCGUUUGAUGUGGCUAAUGAGACUCAAAAUAAUCUUUAAAAAAAGAUCAUUAAAGUUGCUCUAAAGACAAAGAAACUCAAUUACUAUACGUUUGAUGUGGACUAUGUCAGAGCUGGUGAGUUUCUUGUGUUUGAGAGAUUUGUCAAAACUUCUGAGGAACAUUUUUUUAUCAAUUUUUUCAUUGAAAAUUGCAAUGUGUUUUUUGUGCUGCAGCUUCCAUUGCAAGGAAGAUCUACUUGAGGGGUGGACUCGGUGUUGGUGCAUUCCAGAGGAUUUAUGGUGGAAGCCAGAGGAAUGGCAGUCGCCCACCUCAUUUCUGCAAGAGCAGUGGUUCCAUUGCUCGCCACAUUCUUCAACAGUUUAGCAGUUGUUCAUGCUAUUAUGCAUCCGUGUGUUUUAUUUAUAUUGUGAUUAGGAUUUGCUUAGAAAUAGUUUCUGCAUCGUCCCUUUGUAUCAUGUUUUUAACAUUGGUUUUUUUUGUAUCACAGUGGCAGGAAGAUCACUUCCAGCGGAAGGAGGGAUUUGGACCAAGUUGCUGGACGUAUUGUUAUUGCUCCUUGAUCUGUAAACUGCUUCUAGGUUGAGUUGUGUUUUGAGAUAUGUGAUGAUAACAAAGAUAAUAUGCAAUUUUGAUUUUAGUCAUUGAGUGGCUUAUGUAUUAGACUUGUUCAAUGCUAUGUUGCUUUUUAGUCUUUUAGUUUGUCUUGUCACAUUUUAUUCACUGGAUUUUUUGGAAUUUCACCCUUAAAUUGUUGUUCAUUAAGUUUGCAUUGCAAACUUAUACCUAUCUAUCGUCUUGUUUGUUAUAUAUUCACAGCUAGUUCCCAGUUACAACAAGCAUUUGCAUAUUAUCACCUGUGCUCUCAACCUUUUGUUUUACAUAGAGUAAAUAUGAUUUAGUUAAAUCUUUUUGGAACAUGUCAUAUCAGAAGCGUUGAUAAAUAUUUAUAAACUCUCGAGGUUCAAGAUUUUACACGAGCUAUACAUACUAAAUUAUAAAUAUGAAAUUGGAAUUAAAGGGGUGCAUUGAGUUGGUUACUUUCACUGCUGAUUUAUUGAAAUUCCGUUAUGCUUAUUUAUUGAAAUUCUGAAGCAUAUUCCAUGAAUGGAAAAUAAUUAAUUAGUAUUCUGUGGUUAUGGGUACCACAUAAUAUUAUUAGGUGGCAAAACUUUUACUCCAGCUUCAAUUUGUUGAUUUUCAAUAUUCAAUCUUGAUACAUCUGAGUAUGUUGAAAGAAAGAAAUCUUGAUCAUCAUCUAUCUGGCUAAAGUGGCUAAGGCAAAUAUAUUAACAUAAAAUUUCAGAGUAAGUACAAUGCAUACUUUGGGGUUAAAAGUUACAAGCAAUGACAAGAUUAUGAAGAUGGCACAAAAGAUACCUAAUCUGAAUUGAAAUAAACAAAGAUACACACAUCCAAAUCCCACACAUUUGAUAGGAAACCAGAAGAAUCUCAUCAAUAUAACUGCAUUUAUGAACAUCCAGUCUGAGCUUGUUGCAUGAACAACUUAACUCCAAAGAAACGUCCCUGACACUUGAAAAAUAAACCUCUGCAAACACUGGAACAAAAAUAAUUAAAAUGGGAUUUAUGUGUGCUGUUAAGUGGCUCCUGCUACAAACUGAUAACAGCCUCAAUGAAAGUUAACUAUCAUCGAAACACAACCCCUCAAUGUACAAGCACAAACCAUAUUGUAUGCUAUUGAAAGAGGUAUUUCACCGCUCUAGUCGUUGGAACUCGCAAGUUACAACACUCAAGUUGAGUAGGAUUGUAUAUAGGUGGUAAAAUUCCAUCUGAGUUCAAACUUAAUGGAUUUGAAUCCUUUAAAGUGAGUAAAAUGUACAAUCAAAAAAUCAAGAGUUAUUUGGGACAAAAAAACAUUCCUCCAAUUUUGACAUCAAGAAAUUUGGACAAUUAAGAUUUUAGAAGUUUCCUCUGUCAUAUUAUCAAUCAUUGUAGUCUGUAGAUAAUAAAUAUGUAAUAACAUUAUCAUCAAUUGAAUAACAAAGCACCAGUGGUCUAGUGGUAGAAUAGUACCCUGCCACGGUACAGACCCGGGUUCGAUUCCCGGCUGGUGCAAUUUUGAGGGAGCUAUGAUGAUAAUAUAUGUGUUGUUCGGUAACAUCACUUCUCCUGAAACAUUGGAUGAAAAUAAUACCUCUGAGCUCUUUCUUUUAUUUUUCGAGCCUUGACCUCAACCUUCGAAGGGUGAUUUUGAAUCGCUUUUUGAAUCGGUGAUAAAAUUCUUCCUGUUCCAGCGUCACAAGUUAAGAUGAUUGCAGGAAGAUCUGAUAGAAGAGGAUGCCUUUAUCCUGAUGGACUUGCUACUACCUUGCAUUUGGAUUUUGGAUGAUAUGGAUUAUUUGAUCGUGUGUUUGGAACAAGCCCUUUGACCACGUUACGAGGGUUGGCAUUUUUCUUUUUUACGAGCAAGUAGAAUUCUUUGCCGGCAACUUCCUAAUAUGACAUUUAGCCAACUUUUAGAAAAUUUGUUGAAAAUCGGUGUUUGGAUGGGUCGUACUUCUUGUGUCCACAGGAUAACCUAUACAAAAAUGCAAAUAUGUUAGAGAAAGUCUAAGGGUAUUGUUAGAAAAUCGUUUUAACUUAUGUUUUUCUCCUAUUAAUGUUAGCGAUCCCAAAGCUAUAUAACAUUAGUCAGAUUUGCAGCAGUGUUCAGUCAGAAGAUCCCAACUGCCAGUAAACAUGCCUAUGGGCAUGCUGAAAUGUUCGGCACAGAAUGAUUCAGGACUCUUGGACCUUGAGAGCAGGCAUCAAUUACAUGUGGUUCGUCCCAUUUUGAUGAGGAAAAUUUUCCAUGUACUCGGUCAAUCUCUUGUCAAAGCGGGUUGGAAACCUGAAUCAAGAAAUAGAGGAAAUCCAAAAGCUGGAAAAAGUGAAUAGAAAAUAGAAUCAAUAAGGAUCUUGGAUAUUCAAGAGUCAAGAGUCAAGACCACAGUCUCCUGUUAAAUUACAUGACAAGUGUACCUUUCGACGUAUAGCUUCUUAAUUUAUCAAAUUUUGCUUUGUGGAAAUUAGAACAUUUCCUUCAUUUCAAAUAAACUCUGACUGGUUUUACUAUCCGUGCAUAUGCAUUCAUUGUCUACUUGAAAGACUUCUGGCUAGUCAUGCUUGCACUUCUUUUACAGAUCGAUAUUUCCAUUGGUUCGUUAUUCCGGCUUAUAAAUUAUGGUUGUCAAAAUGAUAUCUGCUACAUAUUUCUUUCAUUCCUGAUUAUGUAUAUUUUUCUGUUAUUCAGGAAAAGGCUGGAAAAUUAGCAUCGUUUAAAGAGAAAGAGUUCAUAAUAUGAUGACUUUGGAGGUAAUUCUUUUACUAAUAUAAGUUUUGACUUCUUCAUAGGGCAUCACCGAACUUUUUUGUGAGUUGUUCCGGUGAAUAGUAUCUCAAUUAACAUCAUUCCUGAGGAUUUGUGGUUGGAGCCAGAGGAAUAACUGCGGUGCCAUUGCUCGUCACAUUCUCCAACAGUUGCAGAACAUGGACAUCAUUGAAAUGGACACUAACAGGGUCAGGACUCGCUGUCCUUGUUAGUCUGCUUGGUUUCCUCAAGGCUUUGUUUGCGAGUUUAGAGGGAAAGGGAGGGGAUGGGUUUGAAAAAAAAGGAAGGAGCAAGUGGAAGAAAUAGAUGACAUUGAGAGGAGAAGGCUUUGGGGGUUCAUUUUUCUUCAUAAUACACAAACCCAGGUGUUCUUUAAGUAUGAAAUGAAAAUCUUCAAGAGAUCGAUUGUUCUGUUAUAACCAAACAAAAUAACCUCUAUGUUAGGGAAAUAGGAACUAACAAAUGUAGUUGUUGUAACUAUAACUAACCUCUUUAUUAGGAACUAACAUAUACAUGUUAUCAAGCAUAUAAGAGUUCCAUUUCAAUGAGUUUCUUAUUUUUCACUUUGUAUAGUUUAAAGUCUUUUGAUUACAUGCUAAAUUUCUACUGUAACUACAGAACUCUAAUCAAUUCUUCAGCUCUUUGCUUGUUGGGCAGACCCACAUGUAAGUGCAGCUAAAUUUUUGCUUUUUGAUCAUCGUAAAAUAUUUUCUGGAAUUGUUGCCGAACUAACUUAAGUUUUUUGUUUUCUUUUAUUUUUCCAAGUUGGUUCAUCUUUAUGUUGAUGCAGCUAUAUGUUCUAUACAAAUUGGUUGUCCUAUAUCUACUUCGAUUUUGCGUGGUUUGCACGGCUUGCAUGUGGUGAUAAUGUGUAGAGUGUAGAUAUUCAAUGUGAAAGGAAGGUUUGAAAUAAUUAACUGAUGUAAUAUAGUUUCUGAUGAAAUCUUGCAUAAGUGAAGCUGCUUUGCUGCAGUGUGUGAAUCGGUAUAGAGGUGAAUCUGUCUCAAGGCUGGAGCAGUAACAUCGAUACCAAGAUAAAAGCAAGGUUGACUUUCGAUGGUUUGGGGACACAAUAUAUGUGGCGCAUUCUUACAAUAUGUAUUUAGAGUUUUCUUUGUCAUAUUAUCAUUGCAGUGUCUAGAUGUUAAAGAUGUAAUAACAUUAUCAAUAGAACAACAACAAAGCACCAGUGGUCUAGUGGUAGAAUAGUACCCUGCCACGGUACAGACCCGGGUUCGAUUCCCGGCUGGUGCAAUAUUGGGGCUGUGAUGAAAAUAUUUGUGAUGUUUGGUAACAUUACCUUUCCUGAAUCAUCGGAUGAAAAUAAUACCUCUGAGCUCCUUUUUUUUUUUUUUUUUAUAUGUAUAUUUAUGCGGCGAUGUUUUAUUUUGGAUAUAUUCGGUCUGGGAAUUGUGUUGUUGCGUUCUCAAGGAGAGAUAUUUGAGGUUAAUUUAGCCAUCGAUGUUAUGUCAUACACGGAGCAUUGCCAACAGAAACUUUUAGGCAGCAAGCUGAUUUGUUCAAACAAUCAAAGUAACAAAUACGACAUCUAGUUGCUAGUGAUGCAGUGGGGAUGGAACUGAAUCUCAACAUUUGAAGGGUGAUUUUCAAUAGCCUUUCGAAGUACAAUGGUGACAAAAUUCUUCGUGUACUGGUGUCACAAGUUAUUUGCAAGAAGAGCCGGUUGAAGAGGAUGCCUUUAUCUCGAUGGACUCACCACAACCUUGCAUUUAGAUGAUUUGAUUUACUUGAUAGAGUGUUUGAAACCACCUUUGAUCAUGCUACUAAGGUUGGCCUUUUCCUUUUUAUGAGCAGGUCAAAUUGUUUCCCAGACAACUUCCUAAUAUUACAUCCAACCAACCAGCACUCAGAAAAAUUCGGUGAAAAUUCCGUUUUGACGAGUCAUACUUGUGUUAACAUGAUCACAUAAAGAAGUUGCUAAUAUGUUAGAGAAGAUCCAAGGAUUCUCAUGAAAACUUGAGGGAAAAAACCUUACCAGGAAAACACCGAGGGAUAAAACCAUGGUGAAUGGAAAAAAAGUGCACUGAAAAGCAACGAAAAACAAGCAAUCUCAUGACUAAUAAAAUCUAAACUAAGGAAGUCCAGGCAUAUUCCUAAUAAAAACAUCUAUGAUACUAGAAGGUAUGAAAUUCCACAAUCUGAAAACCAAGAGCUGCUGUCCUAUUAACACAAUGAUUAUCUUCACGAAAAAUAAGCAUAUGCAUUCUAUGUUUCCAUUGGUUCAUCAUUGUGAUUUGCGACUUCAAAUUACGGUUGUCAAUAUGAUGUCUGCUACAUAUUUCUUUCAUUCCCAACUCCAUAUAUUUUUCUGUUACAUUCCGAUGGUUCAAAGAAUAUAAUUUCAUAAUAUGAUGAUUUUGGUGGUAAUUUUGCUAAUGUAGAUAACUUUUAACUUCUCCCUAUGGAUCUAUAUUACUCGCCGAAAUUUUUUGUGAAGUAUUCCAGGUAAUAGAUCAGUUAAAUCCGCGAUGAGAAAUGAAAAGGCUAUUUUAAUAUGUUUUCUUGUAUGUUGUGACUAACAUUUGAUUACCAAUAGUUGAGGUUAAUUUGUAUCAGUGCUUGAGUUACUGCUUAUUGUGAUUUGUGACCGGGAUUUGCUUAAAAAUAAUUGAUGCUAUUCUGCAUCAGCAUGUGAGUAUUUUUAUCAUAUUAUAUAACACAAGUUUUUCUUAAUCUCAGUGGCAGGAAAAUCACUUCCAGUGGCCGGACGGAUUGUGGUUGUACAUUGAUCUGUAAAGUGCUUCUAGGUUUUGAGUUCUGUGUUGGAGAUGUGGUGAUAAUAGAUUGUGUUCAAUUUUGAUUUUACUAGAAUUAUCCGAAGGUCUUGGGAAUAUUAAUCAUGAGUUGAUACUAAAUUAGCUUUCUGGUCAAUUGCUAGAUAAAAUUAUGUCAAUUCUGAAUGACCUGGUAGAGCAGACCAUGUGCAGACUUAUAUUUUGAACUCUAAAUUAAGAAAAGUUUUAUGUUUUCUAGAAUUCUCCAAGUUGAAAGAGACUUGUUUAAGUGCUUUGGAGAAUUCAUUUAACAAUUCUGUGAAUACAUAGCUAUUACAAUUGUCAUACCCUAAAUUUUGACAUAAAGUCCCACUGACGCGCGUCGUUUGACUCUGAUCGAUCUCUGACUUUUUCAGUGAAAAUUCGACAGAGAGAUAUUUUAAAAUACCUCAUUCUUGUUCCGAUUGCGGGCCCUUUUCUCUCCCUUUUUUUUCUUUUUUAUUUCAUUAUCUAACUUCCACCUUUUAUUAAUUUUAAUUUUUUAAGUUAGUUACCUUUUAAUAUUUAAUAAUGUUUAUUUUCCGUUUUUUUGUCCAAUGUUGUCGAUAAGUCCGAAAGUUUUCAGCAAGGGUCCAAAAUUAUUUUAUUUUAUUUUUUCUUUUCUUUUCUUCUUCGUACGCCUCAUGUUCAGGCAAAUUCAUAGGGUCAAAUUUUUGUUGCCAAAUCCAGUAACGCGGUAGUAACCUCUGCAAGUUAUUUCCUUAUUCUAUUCAACCCUAAUGCUAUAAAAGCAAGCCUGCAAAAUACAGAGAAAAAAAAAAGAAGGAUUAGAAAACCCUAGCCGCAAACCUGCAUACAAAGACCGAAUCAAAGAAACUUGCAUCAAAUUUCUUUUUUUUACAAUACAGUCACAAUUCUAAAACUCACACAAACUCCUCACAACUGAUCCAGACACACAACAAUAUCACAGACAACCAGCAUCAACAUCACAGCAAAACGAAUCCACCUUCAGCCACGCAUCAUCGAAGCACAAAGGCCGAUCCAGACGGAACAACAACAAUCGACGCCAUUUUCCACAGAACCGGACCGUUUCCAACAUCCGUUCAAAGAACCGAAUCUGAACCGAACCAAAAGGGACAGCAGAGAACCGGAUUCAUUCAAAGGUAAAAGGUAGUAAUUUCCGUUUUUGUAGAUGUAGAUCUGUUUGUUCUUGGUGUUUGGUGAAUAUUUUUGUUCUGUUGUUUUGUUUGUUCUUGUUUUUCGGUUCUAAAUUUGUAGAUCUAGAGUUUGUAAGGUAGGAUUUCAAAAAAGUGAGUUCGGAUUCGUGUUUAAAACCAAAAAGGAUAUCUGAAUAUGUAAAAAAAUUUGAAAACGGAGAACUUUCACAUCUCCGGUGCGGCGGCGGCGCCUUGUUGGGCCGGCAAAACACCACACCGGAGCGGUGAAGCUCGCCGGAGAAGAUGAAUGUUCAUCUUCCUUGUUUCUUUUUUUCAGAAAAUAUUUUAGAGAGAGGAGAGAGCUUUACACGAGAAAUAAAGAGAAGAGAGAGAAUGGGACUUUGUAAAAUGACUGAAAAAUGGUUCACAACAUAUAUAUACCCCUUCUGAAUCGAACCGGCCCCUUUCCGGUCCAACCCAGUAACCCGAACCGGCCCGUUUUUUGCUUAAGCCCAAUUGUUUCUUACAAUUUUUAUUAAUUAUGCCUCUGUCUUUACUUUCUGCACCUCCUUCACUUACAAAAAUUUUGCUUUGUGUUGAUUGUCUAUUUACUGUUUUGUUAUUUUAUUUUCAUUAUAUUAUUGAUAUAGUAUAUUUGAAUCAUCUCAUGCAUGUUUAAUUUUAUUUUAUUGGUAUUAUUUAGUGUGUAUAAUUAGGAAAUUGAUGUAAUUUAUUUUGCGCGCUUUAUUUCUUACUAUUAUAUUUCUCUUGAGACCAUAGAAUGUAUCUAGGAAUUGAUGUAAUAACACAACGCACCGACACUUCACGUUUAUUUCUUGCGACGUUACGCCGUUACGCUAGUUUUACUAUUAGUCUAAAAAAUCAUUUUUUUCCAAAAAAAUCAAAUAUGCAAAACUUCAAAAAAUAUUUUCUUAAUAAACCUUGGCUUGUAACCCAAGUGUUUUUUUUCCUUUUAUUUUUUUAAUCAAAUGCUUAAUUGAAUUAAUAUUCCGAUUUUCUUGUAAUUAAAAUUUGACCAACCUCACCUUAUUUUAUCUCAUGCCUUGAGGCCUCUUAUCCCUUCUUAAAACCUUUUUUUUUCUAAAAUUUAAAAUCAACCAACCCACCAAAAAGAAACUUUUUAGGUGAACUACAUUGGUUUUGAUCCCUUUUCUUUAAGGGUAUGUAGGCACAGGAUUUUUAUCCUUCCAAAUCAAAUAAAAAUAACCAAAAACAUACUUCUUCUCCCUCCAUUCUUUCACUUAGACUUUUAGGUAAUAAUUUUCAAAUAAGCAAAUGAAUUUAGCACAAGAUAAAUUAGGUAAGAGGUCCAUACGGAAUACCGUAGAUGCUUAGGGUGCUAGCACCUUCCCUUCGCGUAACCAACCCCCGAAUCCAAAGUCUCGAUAAGGGUUUUUACUCAUUUUUUCCCUUCCCACGAAUAAAAAUCGAGAGUUCAAAGAUUGACGAUUCAAAUCAAUUAAUGGUUUGAUAUCCGAAAAUCUCGAGCACAACAAUCGAAAUAGACGUCUUUGAAAUCAGUGUAUACUAACUUUCAAAAUUACAAUUUUUUUUUUUUUUUAUAGAAAAAAGUUUAGGUGAGUUGAGUUCGAGGACUCACCACCAGAGUCACGACAUGCCUCUGAACUCAAAGAGUAUUUAGAGAGGGUAUUUAGAAAUCUUCCACCAAAAACGGUCUUAACAUCAACACAGGGAGUUGAACCCACAAUUUUACGAAUGAGUCAACUUCUUACCAACUGAGUCAUGACAAUUAAGAAUCAUUUAUUACUUAGUUGGAUUGUGUGACUACAUACGAACUAAAGGGUAAUUUUCCCAUGAAAAAAUCUUAUAUAAAGUUCCAUACUUUUGUUGCCUAACCAAAUUAUAACACACGGAUUAACUUUUGAGACACCUUGCAAAUCAACUAAAAUGAAUGAAAAGAGUUGUAUUUUAUUUUGUAGUUGUUUCUUCUCUUGUUCUUUUAGCCUAGAACCUAGUUUCUUACAGUUUUCAUUGUUGUAGCAUUUAGAGCCUAAUGGAGAGUUGAACUCAAGAAAGCACCUACAUAUAGGGCUUGUAUUGUGUGCCAGUUGUGUUACAAUUUUUCGCACCAUAUAGCAAUUCUUAUUUUAAAAAACCAAUCAACUAUAUGAGCAGUUGAAAUUGUCAAAAAAAUCAUCUGGGACAAAAAAAUUUCAAUUCAGUGCAUACCUCCAAUUUUGAUAUCAAGAAAUUUGGAUAAUUAAGAUUUGAGAAGUUUCCUUUGUCAUAUUAUCAUUGUAGUCUAUAGAUGUUAAAUAUCUAAUAACAUUAUCAUCAAAUGAACAACAAAGCACCAGUGGUCUAGUGGUAGAAUAGUACCCUGCCACGGUACAGACCCGGGUUCGAUUCCCGGCUGGUGCAUAUUCGAGGGAGCUAUGAUGAUAAUAUCUGUGGUGUUCGGUAACAUCACUUCUCCUGAAACAUUGGAUGAAAAUAAUGCCUCUGAGCUCUUUCUUUUUAUUUUUCUUUUUUGCAAUUUUCAAAUAUUGUAUUUUUUUGUUGUAUAUUAUAAUUAUUGUUAAGUCUGUUGUUGAAUUAUGGAGGCGAAGAAAAGGAAUUGUUGUAGUCCACUCAGAUUGUUGACUAUGAAAGUUUUUGAUGAGGUUAAUGCCAAAGGUGUUUAUUGAAGUCCGUUAACUGGUCAAAAGAAGAAGCAUGUCCUGUUUUCGUAUAAUAUGUCGCAUGCACGGUGGGAAUGGCUUCAAAGUAGGAAUCGUAUGAUAUGACUAUUGUUGACGAGAUUCAGAUGAUGGCAGAUUCAUAUAGUGGGUAUGCCUGUACUAGAGUACUCAUUGGUUUAAAGGAUGAUGAGCUACAUUUAUGCGGUGAUCCUAGUGUUUUGCAUAUUGUUUGAAAGAUAUAUAAAGAUACAGAAGAUGAGUUGUGCGAGCAAAAACUAUAUGAGAGAUUCAAACAGUUGGUGGUUGAAGCAAAGACCCUGCUUGGAAAUGUAUGUUAAGAUACAGGAGAUGAGUUGUGUGAGCAACAUUAUGAGAUUUGCCACCAGAAAUUCGUAGUCAGCAAGUAAAUUUGUUCAACGAUCAAAGUACAUCAGUGACAAAAUUCUUACUGUUCCAGCAAAUUGCAGGAAGUGCUGGUGGAAGAGGAUGGGUCGUACUUCUUUUGUCCAUAGGAUCGCAUAUACAAAAUUGCUAAUCCGUUAGAGAAAAUCGAAGGGUUAUCGUUAGAAAAUCGUUUUAACUUAUGUUUUUCCUCUAUUAAUGCUAGGGAUCCAAAAGCUAUGUAACAUUAGUCAGAUUUGCAACAAUGUUCAGUCAGAAGGUCCCAACUCCCAGGAAACAUGUCUAUGGGCAUGCUGAAAUGUUCGGUACAAAAUGAUUCAGGACUCUUGGACCUGAGAGUAGGCAUUGAGUAUUAUCGUCAUAUUUUUGGUUAUCAAGCCAUUUUGAUGAGGAAGACUUUCUAUAUGCAAAGAAAGAUGAGGCAAUGGCUUCAGACAUUGCACUUACUCGGUCAAUCUCUUGUCAAAGCGGGUUGGAAACCUGAAGCAAGGAAUAGAGGAAAACCAAAAGCUGGAAAAAAGUGAAUUGCAAACAGAACCAAGAAGUGGAGUCAUUUAAAAAACUGAAAAAAUGAUCUUGUUAUAUUAUAUGACAAGUGUACCUUUCGAUGUAUAGCUUCUUAAUUUAUCAAAUUUUGUCGUGUGGAAAUUAGGACAUUUCCUUCAUUUCAAAUAAACUUCUGCAGGGUUUACUAUCUGUGCAUAUGCAUUCAUUGUCUACUUUUCUGGCUUCUGGCUAGUCACGCUUGCACUUCUUUUAUAGAAUCUAUAUUUCUAUUGGUUCAUCAUUCCGGCUUAUGAAUUAUGGUUGCCAAAAUCAUGUCUGCUACAUAUAUAUAUAUAUAUAUUUCUUUCAUUCCUGAUUAUGUAUUUUUUUUUUCUUCUGUUAUUCAGGAAAAGGCAGGAAAAUUUGUAUCGUUUAAAGAUAAAUAUUUCAUAAUAAUAUGAUGACUUUGGAGGUUAUUCUUCUACUAAUAUAAGUUUUCACUUCUUCGUAGGGUAUUGCCAUUGAAAGAGAUUUGUGUCAUCUUGUCUAAGUGCUUUUAAGUAUUCAUUUAAUUAUUCGAAUACAUAGCUUGUACAACUGAAAUUAUGGACAAACACUUGAGUUAUAGGGGUUCAUUUAGAGCCUAAUUGCGAGAUGAACUCAAGAAAGCAUCUACAUAUAGGGGUUGAUUUGCAAGGUGUCUCAAAGAUACUACAGAGGUGAUAAUAGGUGAUAAUAGAUAAUAACCUAAUAUUCCAUUGUUCUAAUCCAUCAUCCAUUUUAUGGUUUUAUCAAAUAUGAGUACUUGUGGGAUCAAUAUGAGUUUCUUAAGAUUGAACCAAUGAAGUAAAAAUGUGAGUCAUUUUAAAAUGACGUGGCUCUAAGACUCACAAAAUAAUCUUUAAAGAAGAUCACCAUUGAAGUUGCUCUAAAGACUAAAAUAGAAUCUAUUGUCCGUAAAUUCUUAACCUAAAAUAUUCUAAGUUAACUCUUUUGUAACAUGACGUAUUCAGCUAGGACAUAACCAUUUCAUAGUUGCAACAUAACGUCUAGUUAGAUUCAGUUUAUGUCAAAAGAUUACCACAUCACACAAUUCUCAAGAACAAAAAGCUACUAAGCAUAUUUGAUACAUAUAAUGCAAUGUUCUGAGAUCGCAUAAAGCAUCGACAUGUUCAAAUUCCACUAUACAUCAAUGAUAUAGCGUCGCUUUAGCCUCUAUUUUGACAAUAUUUUAUACUAAAUAGCAUAUGUGUUGAAAAUUGACUCAAGAAUUGGAUGUUGAAGCACUGAGGAAACGUGGCAUGAUUUGCAGGGCAACGUGGCACGAUUGGUUGGUUCAGAUUUGUGUUUGUCGCUGGAAAAAUUGUGGCACGAUCCAGGAGGAACGUGACAUGAUGGAAGAUGAACGUGGCACGAUCCAGGAGGAACGUGGCACAAUGUAGCGGAUAAGGUAUAGUACUGUACUAUACCUGCUCCAUCGUGGCACGAUUGGGUCGAAACGUGGCACGAUACUGCGUAUUUCUGAACACUAUUUAAGGCUUCUUUCUUCAAUUUUUUGGAGAGAGCUUUGAGAGAGAAACUUGAGAAUACAAAGGAGGUAACUUUAGGGUUGAAUGUCUUUGUAGUGAGGUUCUCUUGAGGGUUGGGAAACAUUGUAAACACCUUGGGUAGUGAGAUUUCACCAUUGGAAGGAUCAAAAAGCUUUCUUUUGUGUUUUCUCUUAGGAUUCAUAUUGUGAAAGUGGGUGACACAAAAUGGGUAGAAAUUAAGUCUUGUUCUUGUGUAAGUUUGUAAGCUAAUUUCUUGUAACUCUUUUGUAACACUUUCAUCAUAGUAGAUUGGAGAGCUGCUCUCUCUCCUAGAUUAGGUCAUAUUGGACCGAACUGGGUCAACAAUCUUGGUGUGUUUGUUCCUCUCUUUCAUUGCUUAUCUUUAUUGUUGUGAUUAUGCUUGUGGUGUUGCUCUACACUUAGAUUUAUGUCUGUUUUUGUUGUUGUUGCUUGUAGACACUUUAUCUAUUGAUUACCACUUCCUUUUGCUCCACACAUCUUUGUUAUUCAUUGGUGUGAUUUUGUACAAAUUCACAACAAUACGGAACAACAAUUUGUUCAUAUUCCUGUUGUUGUAGCAUUAUAGCACCACUAUAGCCGCAAUUUAACAACGCUGAUAAAAUAUAAUAUAACAUCAUUACAUAUCUAAGACCAUUAUCCAUAGAACAAUUAAGCACGAAUGGUCUAGUGGUAGAAUAGUACCCGGUUCAGAUCCGGGUUCGAUUCCCAGCUGGUGCAAAUUCUAGGGAGUUGUGAUAAAAAUAAUUCUGAUUUUCGGUAACAUCACUUGUCCUGAAAAAUUGGAUGAAAAUAAAAACCUCUAAGCUCCAUUUAUUGUUUUGUUUUUCCUUAACAAAGUUAUUAAACCCUUUGGUUCCUCAAUGUGUGAAGUGUAUGUAUCGUUGCAAGCACAUCCACAAGCUCAAUACAUGUAUGGACUACAAUGAAAACGUCUCAUACUGACAAUCAUGAUCAAAAUGACUGUUUGCUCAUCUUAAAAUAAUAGUAGGAAUGAUGAUGAAUUUGAGAAGAAGAAAAAUGAGAUGGAUUUUAUGAAUUGGGGGUUGCGUGCUCCUAUAGAAUUAUACUGUGAGCUUAAGAAAAGGGUGUGGAAGAAAAGUGUGUAAAGUGUCAUACAUUCGCAUAAGAUUUCAAGAUGUAUGAGAGGUUCAAACAGUUGGUGGUUGAAUCCAAGACCCUGCAAAGGUAUGUCAAGAUACAAGAAAUGAGUUGUGUGAGCAAAUUAACAUUAUGAGAGCUUUGCCACCAGAAACUCGUAUUCAGCUAGGAAAUUUGUUCAACGAUCAAAGUACAUCGGUGACAAAAUUCUUAUUGUUCCAGCAAAUUGCAGGAAGAGCUGGUAGGAGUAUGCCUUUAUCCUGAUGAACUGGCCACUACCUUGCAGUUGGAUGAUAUGGAUUAUUUGAUCGAGUGUUUGAAACAGCCCUUUGACCACGUUACGAGGGUUGGCAUUUUCCCUUUUUACGAGCAAGUAGAAUUGUUUCCCGGCAACUUCCUAAUAUGACAUUCAGCUAACUUUUAGUCAGAAGGUCCCAACUCCCAGGAAACAUACCUAUGGGCAUGCUGAAAUGUUCGGCACAAAAUGAUUCAGGAAUCUUGGACCUUGAAAGUAGGCAUCCAGUAUUAUUUUCGUAUUUGUGGUUAUCCAACCAUUUUGAUGAGGACAAUUUUCCAUAUGCAAAGAAAGCCGAGGCAAUGGUGUCAGACAAUGCUUGCUUACUUGGUUAAUCUGUCUAAGGGAUGCAAGCUGAACAAGCAAAUUAAAGAGAUGAAAAUCAGAAUUUCAUUUAACAAGCCAAUGUAAUAUAAUAGUACAACAGCCGGAACGAUCACAAGAGAAAAUUAAUAUAGAAAGGUUUCCAUUUCCUUGUCACUAGCAAGUAACAUGCAAGCUCAUAUGAGUUGGCACCAAUCAAAACUAUUCAUUUGUCUUCCACUAUUUAUGUUAUAAAUAAUCGAAGAUAAAUAAAUGAUUUUGAUUGAUGCCGACUUAGAGUGCAAAAGUAUCAGAGUGCAACUUGGACAUCCCAACUAUGUUCCAAAACUAUCAAAUAUAAUUUGCAACACCUUAAAAAAGAAAUUUAAAUAAAAGAAAAUGAUAAACAAACACUUGGGGGGACUAUACUUAAACCCAAGAUAACAAUAAAAGAUUAAACAGCAAACGUCUCGUUAUAAACUUUACCGGACAAACCCUGAGGGAUAAAACCAUGAUGAAGGGAAAAAAAUGCAUAAGAAAGCAACAAAAAACAAGCAAUCUCAUGACUAACAAAAUCUAAACUCAGGAAGUCCGGGCAUAUUCCUAAUAAAAACAUCUAUGAUACAAGAAGGUAUGAAACUCCACAAUCUGAAAACCAAGAGCUGCUGUCUUAUCAACACAAUGAUUAUCUUCACGAAAAAUAUGAGUAUUCAUAAAAGGCAAACUCCUAGUGAUAUCCAAGAAAUUUAACCACCUAUUCCUUAAUUGCCACGGAACUAUGUUUGGUGACUUAAAAAAUAAAAUCACCAAAUGUGAAUUAGUCUUCGGCCAAAGUGGGAAUCAACUCUUUUUAUCUGUAUCAUAACAAUCUCUUGUCAAAGUGAAUUCAAAAGGCUAAUAAAUCAGUCAAAUCCGCGAUGAGAAAUCAAAAGUCUAUUUUAAUAUGUUAUCCUGUAUGUUGUGACUAACAUUUUGAUUAGCAAUGGUUGAGGUUAAUUUAUAUCAGUGCUUGAGUUACUGCUUAUUGUGAUUUGUGACUGGGAUUUGCUUAAAAAUAAUUGAUGCUAUUCUGCAUCAUCAUGUGAGUAUUUUUAUCAUAUUAAUUAACAUAAAUUUUUCUUAAUUCCAGUGGCCAGCUUCAAGGUUUUGAGUUCUGUGUUGGAGAUGUGGUGAAUGGUGAUAGUAGAUUAUGUUCAAUUUUGAUUUUAGUAGAAUGAUCCAAAGGUCUUGGAAAUAUUAAUCAUGAGUUGGUGCUAAAUUAAAUUUCUGGUCAAUUGCUGGAUGAAAUCAUUUCAAUACUGAAUGACCUGGUGAGCAGAACAUGUGCAGACUUAUAUUUUGAACUCAUUAAUAUUUUCUUCUUCUUCUUCUACUUCUAAUUACUUAUUUACAGGUAAAAGUAUAAUAUUGCUUAUUCUUAGAUUACAUGUAAUUUUUUGGCAUGUACUUGUUGUAUAAAUCAAAAUUUUUUAACAACAAACAUUAUAAUUAUUCUCUAAAAAAAUAAAACAUGAUAAGUUUUUUUAUUUUUAUUUUUUUAAUUGUAUUUUUUUAGGGGCCUAUUUUUAUUAAGAGAGCCGAGCCUCCAAAUUCACAUGGACGAUCCUGCUAACUUUUAAAAUUACAAUUUAUUUAUUUUUUUUAUAGAAAAAAAUUUAAGUGAGUUGAGUUCCGGGGCUCACCACCAGAGUCACGACAUGCCUCUGAACUCAAAGUGUAUUUAGAGAGGUAUUUAGAAAUCUUCCACCAAAAACGAUCUGAACAUCAACACAAGGAGUUGAACCCACAAUCUUACGAAUGAGUCAACUUCUUACCAACUGAGUCAUGACAAUUAAGAAUCAUUUAUAACUUAGUUGGACUGUGUGACUACAAAGGAAUUAAGGGGUAAUUUUCCCAUGAACAAAUCUUAUAUAAAGUUACAUACUUUUGUUGUUGCCCAACCAAAUUAAGAUUUUAGAAGUUUUCUGUGUCAUACUAUCAUUGUAGGCUCUAGAUGUUAAAGAUCUAAUAAUAUUGUCAAAAUGUACAACAAAGCACCAGUGGUCUAGUGGUAGAAUAGUACCCUGCCACGGUACAGACCCGGGUUCGAUUCCCGGCUGGUGCAAUUUGCAGGGAGCUAUGAUGAAAACAUUUGUUGUGUUUCGGUAAACAUCAUUCCUCCUGAAACAUAGGAUGAAAAACAUACCUCUGAGCUCCAUCUUUUUUGAUGUUUCUUUUUGCAAUUUUUGUGUUGUUUUGUUAGUUCUGUUGUUGAAUUUAGUAAUAGUUAGGGAUGAUGAUGUUUAAGAGAAUGUGGUACCAAUAGUGGUAAAACUUAUACUGCUUUGCAGAGAUUUAUGGAGGCAAAGAAAGGGAAUUGUUAGUCCCCUCUGAUUGUUGGUUAUGGAAGUUUUUGUUGGGGUUAAUGCCAAUUGUCAAUGGUGUUUAUUCAACGCGUGACUAUUAUUGACGAAAUUCAGAUGACGGCAGAUUGGUAUAGAGGGUAUCCCUGACGAGCUACAUUUAUGCGGUGAUCCUAAUGUUUUGCAUAUUGUUCAAAAGACAUAUCAAGAUACAGAAGAAUGCAACAAAAACGGAGAAGAAUGAAGCAAAAAUGAGGUAAAGCGCCACCGGAGAAGUUAGUUCCAGUGGCCGGAGAGAUACUUCCGAGGAGAGAGACGAAUCAUCAUUGUUUCUGGAAUCAGUAAACCAUCUGGUUAAAAACAAAAACAAAGGAAAACCAGUUGUUUACAAAUUUAUCUAGCUUGAUGAAGUUUUAUUAUAGGGUGAAGACUUCAAGGUUUAAGGGUUGGCUCCUUACAAUCCUGACUGGUACUAUGAUGAUUGCUAAAGAAACCUGCUUUGGGCUUCCUACAAUGUUACUCCGCUUUGGAAACGAGGAUUUUGGAGGUAUCAACACUUAUGUACAAAGUUAAGAUGCUUAACUCAACAUAUCCUUCAACAUCGCAGAAAAAGCUGCAAGAAUUUAGGUCAUAUCGAUCAAAAUGUUUGUAGCGAGAGUUCCAAACCGGAAAUGAAGUCAGCUGAUGGUACGCAGUGCCGUUCUAAUGGUGGACUCCAAAAUUGCCAUUUCUUUCGUGACCUUAAUGAUCAACAAAAUUCUAAGGAAGAACCUUGUGGGAACAUCAUGCGUGUGAUGCUUCAUGGAUGUCAAACUACAGUUGCUUUAAUCGGCAAUGUAUUGACUAAUCUUGUCAUGCAUCUGGAAAUACA